ACAUGAUUUUUGGAUUAUUAUACUGGAACUACGAUUUUGGAUUAUUUUGUGUGUGUAGAUUCUGUUCGGAUUUAGUAUUCAACUACCCACACAUCUCGGUCAGACUUGAAUGGAUGCCGGUCGAAAUUGGUCCUAGGCUUCAUGAAAAGACACUGGAAGUGUGAAACGUUAUUAACAGAGGAGGGACAAGUAAUCACAUUUUAUAUCAUUCAUACAGAGAAGUCACUAACUUAGGAGAAGAGCCACAGAUUUUGACCCAUGCAUGGUGCCGAGGGCCGCAGCAGUGAGUUGGCCAACGCCUAAACUCAAAUAUCAUUCACUGAAGAGAUCGUAAAUUUAGUAAUGAUGUUCGCAUUAAAUCGAUUAUUGCUACCCUCAAUUCAAUUGAUGCGUACAUCAAUUUAGUCAUUGCUAUCAUCAAUUAAAUAUAUCUUCAAUUGUUUGAAUUUGCACGCCAUAUACACGGGGCCCGCGAAAGAUCGAUGUCUUUCAUUUCUAAUGCUGGGAGCUUGCAGGAGAAGCCUUGCCUAUUUUGUUCAUUUGUUGUUUUUUUUAAGUCCCUUUAAGAAUUGAGGAUUCUUUAUCGUGUCAACGACUGCAGAAAUUUGCUAUAUGCAAUUAUGUAUGGCAAAACUUCCGGAUUUGCAAUAUGGCGAAUCCCCAUUGCACCCACAGAAGAAAUGCAAAACUUCCCCUUCAGGGAAUUUCUUCUACCUGAAUGUUUUCGAUUUACUGAUUUCCCACCAUUAUGAUUAUUCAGAUACCGUACACAAUCGAAUACUAUUUUUCACCGAAAUAUUUCCGAUUAGUAGUUUUCUAUCAAAUUCAAAUUGUUAUCAUCAAAAAGAGAAAUAUCAGUUUCACGUAUUUGAAGAAAGGUUUAUCCACCUGGUCACUCACAAAGGCAAGAGCCGCCGAAAAAAAUGCCUCGAAAGUUACUAAAGGCAAGCAGUUGAGAGAAUCUGAUGACGAACAAAGUGUGAAAGAAAUUCGUUAUACUUUUCAUGAC